AGCAACAAAUGCCCUGCUUCCAGGAAAAGCCUCUAAGCCUCAGGUAACAUCAAAUCGUACCCCAAACCGACACAGGUGGUCAGGUAGAGAAUACCAAGGCGCUUGAGAGAACUCGGGUGAAGGAACUAGGCAAAAUGGUGCCGUAACUUCGGGAGAAGGCACGCUGACACGUAGGUGAAGUGGUUUACCCAUGGAGCUGAAGUCAGUCGAAGAUACCAGCUGGCUGCAACUGUUUAUUAAAAACACAGCACUGUGCAAACACGAAAGUGGACGUAUACGGUGUGACGCCUGCCCGGUGCCGGAAGGUUAAUUGAUGGGGUCAGCGCAAGCGAAGCUCCUGAUCGAAGCCCCGGUAAACGGCGGCCGUAACUAUAACGGUCCUAAGGUAGCGAAAUUCCUUGUCGGGUAAGUUCCGACCUGCACGAAUGGCGUAAUGAUGGCCAGGCUGUCUCCACCCGGGACUCAGUGAAAUUGAACUCGCUGUGAAGAUGCAGUGUACCCGCGGCAAGACGGAAAGACCCCGUGAACCUUUACUAUAGCUUGACACUGAACACUGGUCCUUGAUGUGCAGGAUAGGUGGGAGGCUUUGAAGUGUGGACGCCAGUCUGCAUGGAGCCAUCCUUGAAAUACCACCCUUUAAUGGCUGGUGUUCUAACGUGGGCCCCUGACCGGGGUUGCGGACAGUGUCUGGUGGGUAGUUUGACUGGGGCGGUCUCCUCCUAAAGAGUAACGGAGGAGCACGAAGGUUGGCUAAUCCUGGUCGGACAUCAGGAGGUUAGUGCAAUGGCAUAAGCCAGCUUGACUGCGAGCGUGACGGCGCGAGCAGGUGCGAAAGCAGGUCAUAGUGAUCCGGUGGUUCUGAAUGGAAGGGCCAUCGCUCAACGGAUAAAAGGUACUCCGGGGAUAACAGGCUGAUACCGCCCAAGAGUUCAUAUCGACGGCGGUGUUUGGCACCUCGAUGUCGGCUCAUCACAUCCUGGGGCUGAAGUAGGUCCCAAGGGUAUGGCUGUUCGCCAUUUAAAGUGGUACGCGAGCUGGGUUUAGAACGUCGUGAGACAGUUCGGUCCCUAUCUGCCGUGGGCGCUGGAAGAUUGAGGGGGGCUGCUCCUAGUACGAGAGGACCGGAGUGGACGCAUCACUGGUGUUCGGGUUGUCAUGCCAAUGGCACUGCCCGGUAGCUACAUGCGGAAGAGAUAAGUGCUGAAAGCAUCUAAGCACGAAACUUGCCCCGAGAUGAAUCUUCCCUGAGCCUUUAAGGCUCCUGAAGGAACGUUGAAGACGACGACGUUGAUAGGCCGGGUGUGUAAGCGCAGCGAUGCGUUGAGCUAACCGGUACUAAUGAACCGUGAGGCUUAACCUUACAACGCCGAAG
rnacentral:rRNA from 1 species